AGCAGCCGCGGUAAUUCCAGCUCCAAUAGCGUAUAUUAAAGUUGUUGCAGUUAAAAAGCUCGUAGUUGAAUUUCGGGAUCAGUAUGUUGGUCGUGCUUCGGUACGUACUGUCAUUACUGGUUUCUACCUUCUGAAGAACCUUGAUGUCAUUAAUUUGGUGUCUUGGGGAAUCAGGACUGUUACUUUGAAAAAAUUAGAGUGUUUAAAGCAAGCAUACGCUUGAAUACAUUAGCAUGGAAUAAUGAAAUAGGACGUUUGAUUCUAUUUUGUUGGUUUCUAGGAUCGACGUAAUGAUUAAUAGGGAUAGUUGGGGGCAUUAGUAUUCAAUUGUCAGAGGUGAAAUUCUUGGAUUUAUUGAAGACUAACUACUGCGAAAGCAUUUGCCAAGGAUGUUUUCAUUAAUCAAGAACGAAAGUUAGGGGAUCGAAGACGAUCAGAUACCGUCGUAGUCUUAACCAUAAACUAUGCCGACUAGGGAUCGGAUGAUGUUAUUUUUAAUGACUCAUU
rnacentral:rRNA from 1 species